UACGUAGGGUGCGAGCGUUAAUCGGAAUUACUGGGCGUAAAGCGUGCGCAGGCGGUUCGCCAAGUCAGGUGUGAAAUCCCCGGGCUUAACCUGGGAAUUGCGCUUGAAACUAGCGGGCUUGAGUGUGGCAGAGGGGGGGUGGAAUUCCACGUGUAGCAGUGAAAUGCGUAGAGAUGUGGAGGAACACCGGUGGCGAAGGCGACGUCCUGGACCGGCAUUGACGCUGAGGCGCGAAAGCCAGGGGAGCAAACGGGG
rnacentral:rRNA from 1 species